rnacentral:sRNA from 1 species
UUUUCCUCUAAAACAUACUGCACGCAUAGGUGAAAUGGUAGAACCACAAGUAAGGUGGCAGGGCUUGGCUCAGUUGUAAUCCUGCCUGAGGACUGACAGCAGAUUGUGACUUCUUUGAGUGUUUUGCCAACUUUGAAGGUCUCUAGGAGAUACAGGAAUGUAGGUUUCUGAGUGUCACCUUUGGAGUGGUGAAUAGGGCCCAUGAGGACUCUACAGCCUUUCAUGCCUUAUGCUUGCUUUCUAGCUAAAGAGCCCACAACACAGAUAACAGAAGAGGUCCGGGAUCAGCUCCUGGAGGCCUCUGCUGCCACCAGGAAAGCCUUCACCACUUUCAGGAGGGAGGCCGAUCCCGACGACCACUACCAGCCUGGAGAGGGCACCCAGGCCACUGCCGACAAAACCAAGGACGACCUGGAGAUGAGCGCGGUCAUCACCAUCAUGCAGCCCAUCCUCCGCUUCCUGCAGCUCCUGUGUGAAAACCACAACCGAGACCUACAGAACUUCCUCCGUUGCCAAAAUAACAAGACCAACUACAAUUUGGUAUGUGAGACCCUGCAGUUUCUGGACUGUAUUUGUGGAAGCACGACUGGA